CUAAGGCCGAUGGCGACCGGCGCACGGGUGAGUAACACGUAUCCAACCUGCCCUUUACUCGGGGAUAGCCUUUCGAAAGAAAGAUUAAUACCCGAUGGCAUAAUGAUUCCGCAUGGUUUCAUUAUUAAAGGAUUCCGGUAAAGGAUGGGGAUGCGUUCCAUUAGGUUGUUGGUGAGGUAACGGCCCACCAAGCCUUCGAUGGAUAGGGGUUCUGAGAGGAAGGUCCCCCACAUUGGAACUGAGACACGGUCCAA
rnacentral:rRNA from 1 species